AGUGAACGCUGGCGGUAGGCCUAACACAUGCAAGUCGAACGGCAGCACAGUAAGAGCUUGCUCUUACGGGUGGCGAGUGGCGGACGGGUGAGGAAUACAUCGGAAUCUACUUUUUCGUGGGGGAUAACGUAGGGAAACUUACGCUAAUACCGCAUACGACCUACGGGUGAAAGCAGGGGAUCUUCGGACCUUGCGCGAUUGAAUGAGCCGAUGUCGGAUUAGCUAGUUGGCGGGGUAAAGGCCCACCAAGGCGACGACCCGUAGCUGGUCUGAGAGGAUGAUCAGCCACACUGGAACGGAGACACGGUCCAGACUCCUACGGGAGGCAGCAGUGGGGAAUAUUGGACAAUGGGCGCAAGCCUGAUCCAGCCAUACCGCGUGGGUGAAGAAGGCCUUCGGGUUGUAAAGCCCUUUUGUUGGGAAAGAAAAGCAGCAGGUUAAUACCCCGCUGUUCUGACGGUACCCAAAGAAUAAGCACCGGCUAACUUCGUG
rnacentral:rRNA from 1 species